rnacentral:tRNA from 1 species
GUCAGAUUAGUUUAAUGGUAAAACCCAUGAUUUGUAAUCAUCGAAAUGUUUGUUCGAAUCAGACAUCUGGCA